UCAGCCGGCCGGGCGGCCGCUCCGCCUUCGGGUGGGGAGGAAAGUCCGGGCUCCAUGGAGAGACGGUGCCGGAUAACCUCCGGCGGGGGUGACCCCAGGGACAGUGCCACAGAGAGGAGACCGCCGCGCGCACCUCCGGGUGCCUUAGCGGUAAGGGUGAAAGGGUGCGGUAAGAGCGCACCGCGGACGCGGCAACGCGGACGGCACGGCAAACCCCACCGGGAGCAAAACCGAAUAGGGGCGACAGGCGCCGGCCUUCGGGCCGGCGCGAGGCGUUCUCCAGCCCCGUCGCCCGGGUUGGUUGCUUGAGGCGGCCGGCGACGGCCGUCCCAGAGGAAUGGCCGCCACGUCCGGGGAGCCUUCGGGUUCCGCCGGGCCCUACAGAACCCGGCUUACAGGCCGGCUGAUACU
rnacentral:RNase_P_RNA from 24 species